CUACGGGAUGCUCCAGUGAGGAAUAUUGCACAAUGGGGGGAACCCUGAUGCAGCAACGCCGCGUGGAGGAUGACGCAUUUCGGUGUGUAAACUCCUUUUAUAUGUCAAGAAAAUGACGGUAGCAUAUGAAUAAGCACCGGCUAACUCCGUGCCAGCAGCCGCGGUAAUACGGAGGGUGCAAGCGUGUACUCGGAAUCACUGGGCGUAAAGGACGCGUAGGCGGGUUGGAAAGUCAGGUGUGAAAUCCUACAGCUUAACUGUAGAACUGCAGUUGAAACUUCUAAUCUAGAGUAUGGGAGGGGGAGAUGGAAUUAGUGGUGUAGGGGUAAAAUCCGUAGAUAUCACUAGGAAUACCUAAAGCGAAGGCGAUCUCCUGGAACAUUACUGACGCUAAGGCGUGAAAGCGUGGGGAGCAAACAGGAUUAGAUACCCGUGUAGUC
rnacentral:rRNA from 1 species